AGCUUUGCGCAGUGGCAGUAUCGUAGCCGAUGUGGUUUACCCGAGGCGCGAUUAUUGCUAAUUGAAAAGAAGCUUAUAUAUAUGGGGCGCCUGGGUGGCUCAGUCGUUGAGCGUCUGCCUUCGGC
rnacentral:snRNA from 1 species